UUGGAGGCAGCAGUGAGGAAUUUUGCGCAAUGGGGGAAACCCUGACGCAGCAACGCCGCGUGGAGGAUGAAGUCCUUCGGGACGUAAACUCCUUUCGAUCGGGACGAUUAUGACGGUACCGGAAGAAGAAGCCCCGGCUAACUUCGUGCCAGCAGCCGCGGUAAUACGAGGGGGGCGAGCGUUGUUCGGAAUUAUUGGGCGUAAAGGGUGCGUAGGCGGUUUGGUAAGUCUUGUGUGAAAUCUCCGGGCUCAACUCGGAGCCUGCACGAGAAACUGCCGGGCUUGAGUAUGGGAGAGGUGAGUGGAAUUCCUGGUGUAGCGGUGAAAUGCGUAGAUAUCAGGAGGAACACCUGUGGCGAAAGCGGCUCACUGGACCAUAACUGACGCUGAUGCACGAAAGCUAGGGGAGCAAACAGGAUUAGAUACCCCUGUAGUCC
rnacentral:rRNA from 1 species